rnacentral:rRNA from 1 species
GAAAAGAACCCCGGGAGGGGAGUGAAAUAGAACCUGAAACCCUGCACUUACAAGCUGUGGAAGCACAUUUCUUGUGUGACCGCGUACUUUUUGUAGAACGGGCCAACGAGUUACGUUAAGUAGCAAGGUUAAGCACUUAAGGUGUGGAGCCGUAGCGAAAGCGAGUUUUAACUGAGCGUUCAGUUACUUGACGUAGACCCGAAACCGGGCGACCUACCCAUGAGCAGGAUGAAGCGAAAGUAAAAUUUCGUGGAGGUCCGAACCCACGAGCGUUGAAAAGCUCGGGGAUGACUUGUGGGUAGCGGUGAAAUUCCAAUCGAGCCCGGAGAUAGCUGGUUCUCCCCGAAAUAGCUUUAGGGCUAGCCUCAAGGUGAGAGAUACGGAGGUAGAGCACUGAAUGUCCUAGGGGGUAUUGCACCUACCGAAGACUAUCAAACUCCGAAUGCCGUCAUCUUAUACUUGGGAGUCAGACUGUGGGUGAUAAGAUUCAUAGUCGAAAGGGCAACAGCCCAGAUCGUCAGCUAAGGUCCCUAAAUGUAAGUUAAGUGGUAAAGGAUGUGGGAUUGCACAGACAACCAGGAUGUUGGCUUAGAAGCAGCCACUCAUUCAAAGAGUGCGUAAUAGCUCACUGGUCGAGUGAUCCUGCGCCGAAGAUUUCCGGGGCUAAAACUUACUACCGAAGCUACGGCAUCAGUAAUGAUGGGUAGGGGAGCUUCCCAUACGGGUUGAAGCAUGACCGUAAGGACAUGUGGACAGUAUGGGAGUGAGAAUGUUGGCAUGAGUAGCGAGAUGUGGGUGAGAAUCCCACAGGCCGUAAACCCAAGGUUUCCAGG